rnacentral:rRNA from 1 species
UACGUAGGGAGCAAGCGUCGUCCGGAAUCAUUGGGCGUAAAGCGCGCGUAGGUGGCCUCAUAAGUCCGCUGUGAAAGUCAAAGGCUCAACCUUUGAAAGCCGGUGGAUACUGUGGGGCUAGAGUACGGAAGAGGCGAGUGGAAUUCCUGGUGUAGCGGUGAAAUGCGUAGAGAUCGGGAGGAACACCAGUGGCGAAGGCGGCCAUCUGGAUCAACACUGACGCUGAGGCACGAAAGCGUGGAGAGCAAACAGG